GAAGACCAGGACAGGACAAUUGUUGCAUUCUAUAAAGCACACCAAAAAAACUGGGCAGGUCCAUUGAAUUGCAAAUUGGAGGGGGACACUGCUAUUGGAGAGGGGGUGACCCGUUUCUUCUCCAUCUGCAUGCAAAAGCUGAGAUCAGGCUUUUCUUUGAACUGUGGAAAUGCCAAUAUCACUCAGCUUUUUGAGGGUGAGCCAGACUACUUGGUUCCUUCGUCA